rnacentral:tRNA from 1 species
GGCGAUGUGGUUUAGCCUGGUCAGAACGUCACGCUCAUAACGUGAAAGUCGGGAGUUCAAAUCUCCCCAUCGCCA